rnacentral:sRNA from 1 species
AUUUGUGUCUCUGCAGACUGGGCUUCUCCUUGUUUAUCAGAGGCUGAUCAGAGAGGAGGGAGUGGCGACGUGUGCUUCCCGUGCUGCCCUGCCAGCCAGCCCCAGCCCUGAACUGGAGGGGCCAUUGCCGGGCGUGAGAAGGCAGCUCAGGCUCCACACCUCUGAAAACUGUGGCAUCU